rnacentral:rRNA from 1 species
AUACAGAGGUUGCGAGCGUUAAUCGGAAUUACUGGGCGUAAAGCGCGCGUAGGCGGCUUAUUAAGUCAGAUGUGAAAUCCCCGGGCUCAACCGGGGAACUGCAUCUGAUACUGGUAAGCUAGAGUUUUGGAGAGGGAAGUAGAAUUUCAGGUGUAGCGGUGAAAUGCAUAGAGAUCUGAAGGAAUACCAGUGGCGAAGGCGACUUCCUGGCCAAAAACUGACGCUGAGGUGCGAAAGCGUGGGUAGCAAACGGGAUUAGAUACCCUAGUAGUCC